UACGUAGGGUGCAAGCGUUGUCCGGAAUUAUUGGGCGUAAAGAGCUCGUAGGCGGUUUGUCGCGUCUGCUGUGAAAACUCGGGGCUUAACUCCGGGCCUGCAGUGGGUACGGGCAGACUAGAGUGCGGUAGGGGAGACUGGAAUUCCUGGUGUAGCGGUGAAAUGCGCAGAUAUCAGGAGGAACACCGGUGGCGAAGGCGGGUCUCUGGGCCGUAACUGACGCUGAGGAGCGAAAGCGUGGGGAGCGAACAGGAUUA
rnacentral:rRNA from 1 species